GGUGCGGGGGAGUCAAACUCAUGUUGCUGGUAUGGCUGAGUGAGGACAUUGCCUAGCAUAGCAAUCAAGUUUUCAUAGGUAAAAUCCAUCCAUUCCUCAACGCCCUCCAAAUCUUCCCAGUCUCUAUUAAACGAAUUAGUCCCUUUUUUGGCAUUGGUUCGAUCCAAACUGGGGUCAACGACUGAAAGAUAUUCAAGCAGGGUAGACAUGACCGCGGAUUGGAAAGGGUAAUAAUUAUUCUUCAAAUAGAGUCGUUUGGGGUAAAAGGGCAAAAUCAAGCAAUAAUUGAAGCUUAAAUCGAUCAGAACAAGACGAGGACCGGUAUAUUUAUUUCUCCAAGGAGGUUAAGCACUUAGGAAAGAUGCCCGAGAACUAUGGAAAAAGCCUUCACCUCAUGAAAACAGUCUAUUGCUGU
rnacentral:sRNA from 2 species